GGGAAUGCCACGCUGAUGCGAUUUCGGUCAAUCAUGUGGCAUUCGAGUGGCGGACGGGUGAGUAACGCGUGGGUAACCUGCCUUACACAGGGGGAUAACACCUGGAAACAGGUGCUAAUACCGCAUAAGCGCACAGGGCCGCAUGGCCCGGUGUGAAAAACUCCGGUGGUGUAAGAUGGACCCGCGUCUGAUUAGCUUGUUGGCGGGGUAGGGGCCCACCAAGGCGACGAUCAGUAGCCGGCCUGAGAGGGUGGACGGCCACAUUGGGACUGAGACACGGCCCAAACUCCUACGGGAGGCAGCAGUGGGGGAUAUUGGACAAUGGGGGAAACCCUGAUCCAGCGACGCCGCGUGAGUGAAGAAGUAUUUCGGUAUGUAAAGCUCUGUCAGCAGGGAAGAAAGAAAUGACGGUACCUGACCAAGAAGCCCCGGCUAACUACGUGCCAGCAGCCGCGGUAAUACGUAGGGGGCAAGCGUUAUCCGGAAUUACUGGGUGUAAAGGGAGCGUAGACGGUGAUGCAAGUCUGGAGUGAAAGGCGGGGGCCCAACCCCCGGACUGCUCUGGAAACUGUGUAACUUGAGUGCAGGAGAGGUAAGCGGAAUUCCUAGUGUAGCGGUGAAAUGCGUAGAUAUUAGGAGGAACACCAGUGGCGAAGGCGGCUUACUGGACUGUAACUGACGUUGAGGCUCGAAAGCGUGGGGAGCAAACAGGAUUAGAUACCCUGGUAGUCCACGCCGUAAACGAU
rnacentral:rRNA from 1 species